GCCAAUCACAGCCCACCAUCUAGGCUUCAAGCCGUAGCCAAUCAGCGAUGUCCUUGCUGCGGUCGUGCCUUUUCUCUCAGAAGGCAUCUCGCCUCCAGCCGGGGCGAGUACCCGCCACCCGAGGUCAGACCCGGGAGGUGACCGCCAGUUUUAAAUAAUAGCAAGCUGUUAGCUGUUGAUCCGCAGAAAGCGCGAAAUGAGUGGAGGGCGCGAAUAAUGGAGCAAAGACAUAGGGGCUCCUCGGAGAUUUUGAAGCAAGUUGUGAUCGCCACGCUAAACGGGAGGUCAAAGUUGACACACGUUAGAUGAGGUAAAUGGGAGGUCAAAGUUGACACACGGUAGAUGGGCUAAACGGGAGGUCAAAGUGACACACGUUAGAUGAGCUAAGCGGGAGGUCAAAGUUGACACACGUUAGAUGGGCUAAAUGGGAGGUCAAAGUGACACACGUUAGAUGAGCUAAAUGGGAGGUCAAAGUUGACACACGUUAGAUGAGGUAAACGGGAGGUCAAAGUUGACACACGUUAGAUGGGUUAAACGGGAGGUCAAAGUUGACACACGUUAGAUGGGCUAAAUGGGAGGUCAAAGUUGACACACGGUAGAUGAGCUUAGCGAUGGCCUAGGAAGUGUUGGCUGGAGGCCGACUGGACACAGCUCCAGAGCGAGGUUGAAGACGCCGGCAGGGAUGCGAGGGAUGCGGAGGACAAGGCAAAGGUCAUCGCAGACGCGGCCGCCAUGGCCGAGGAGCUAAGAAGGAGCAGGACACCAGCGCCCACCUGGACCGGACGGUGAAGGACCUGCAGCAUCGUCUGGACGAGGCUGAGCAGCGGGCCCUGAAGGGCGGGGAGAAGCAGAUCCAGAAACUAGAGACGCGGAUCCGGGAGCUGGAGUUGGAGCUCGAAGGGGAGCAGAAGAGCACAGAGUCUGUCAAGGGCCUGAGGAAAGACGAGCGGCGGCUGAAGGCGUUAACCUACCAGAGUGGAGAGGACAGAACGUGCCCAGGUUGCAGGACCUGGUGGAUAAACUCCGAGUGAAAGUCAAGUCCUACCCGAGGCAGGCGGAGGAGGCUUGUGAACAACCCAACGCUCACCUCACCGAAUCCCCGCCCGGUAAAGCUCAGCAUGAGCCGGAAGAGGCAGAAGAAUGUGCUGAUACUGUGAUACUGCAGAAUCUCCGGUCCGUAAGCUUCGCGCCAAGACCCGCGACUUCACCUCCAGCAGGAUGGUGGUCCAUGAGAGCCAAGAGUGAGUGGUGAGCCUCUUCUGGAGCAGGACGGGAAAUAUGCAAAAUGGCUCCUUUUAUUUAGCAUCGUGUUGCAGACAUUAUGCUGUGCAUCUCCACCAUAUGCAUGUCCCCUCUCUGCAUUCCACCCCCCUCCCUCUUGCCUAAUAUAUUAGCGAGACGUCAUGAAUUCUCCUCCUUAAGUGACCCUAUUUGUGCAUCCAAGUGGUGGCAGACGCUGGACUGACACCUGCAUCAGGUAUCUAUUGGUCUAUAACUGGUUAUCACAUAUUGAAAGGAUAAACACGAUACCCGUUUAUGGUCUCGCAGUGCGGUCGGGAUGGGAUCAGAGGGACUGAGUUCUCCUACGGUCAGGUUAAAACCUAUGUAUUGGCGAUGCCAGGCGCUUGCUUAGAGGCUCUGGAGAGCAGUCUGCCUCCACCCUUAGUAAGAUCGUUGAAAAUACAGUUUUUUGUGGCUAUAAAUCCACAGUACCCAUUUUGUUUUGCCAGCUGCCUGCAGAGGCCAUUCUCCUCUCCUAGAGGCUUCUCACACAGCCCUCACCACCUUCAAGGGCAGCAGUGGAGCAGACUUCUCAUACCUACGAUCUGAUUUUCAUUCUGCCACCAGCCAGAGAAAACCCUGUGUUUAAAGGGCCCUGGGCAGCCCGGGUGGCUCAGUGAUUUAGCACCUGCCUUCAGCCCAGGGCGUGAUCCUGGAGAUCCAGGAUGGAUUCCCACUUUGGGCUCCCUGCGUGGAGCCUCCUUCUCCCUCUGCCUG